CUACUGGUGUUAACUAAAAACUUACUAUUACUUAAUGCAAGAUAACCAAUAUCAGAUCUGGGUCAAAAACUCGAAAGCAGUUAAAGCUUCGCUGUUCAACUUCACCUGUGUAACACUUUAAAAAAAAAGAAAAAGUCAGUUAGGUAGCUUAACCCACAAGCAUUACAACGGUAUUAAGUGCAGCUUAGGUAAGUAGUUCACAACUAUCACAGGGUUCUUCAAUGACUCUGUAGGACUCCCAAAUGUGAUGAACAGAGUGAACCUGAAUUUUCAGAGCGAGUAGGAGAGGGGGAGAGUGUUGCAUCUACAUUAUGCAACACUGAAAAAGACUUUUCACUUUCAUGUAGAAAAAGCAUGAUGACUGCUGGAAAUUUAAGACAGAAAAUGAAUCAAUUUCUAAUCCUCUAACUGGAAGAUCUAGUAGUAAGCAAGAAAAUCAAGACAAUUCUACAAAUGACACAGCAGCAAAGAGACUGAUGAGCCUCAACAAUCUAUACAGCCGUGCAUACAGGAAUAUUUCCCCCUAGAUUAAUACACAAACAAAAGCAUGAAUUCCAGCUCUAAAAUUUCAAAUCAGAGAACCAGAAAGCGUCUGCAGUCUGUCUUCAUGAACUUUUUUUCCUUUUUAAAAAAAGGAAAAACACCUUUCCUUUAGAAAACCUUAACAAAGAUGAAGCCCAGAAACUUUGGCAAAACACAGCCAAGGCAACAGGCGCUGGAGAAGACACGCAAUUUUAAAAAGUUACCAAAUGUCCCAGUAAGACUGGUUGAUAAAUUAACUUCGUUCUGCUGAACGCUUCAAAAACUGCGUUUUUGAUAGUAUUUUCCAAUUACACAGGCUUUAAGAACAACAUGUAUGCUAAUAAACGGGGACCUCAAAUACAUGUGCAAUGAAGCAAAGCUGAUAUUCCAGAUUACAUUUUAAAUAGUCCAAAGAAAAUGGAAAACUGCAACUGCAGGCUUGCGCAAAGCCCAAACCGGGAAAACACAACUGGGCGGCAGGGUCCAGUACCCCGGCUUCGCAGGCUGGCCGCCCUUCCCUUCCACCCGGAGAACCAGAAGAACAAAGUUCACACUGACUAAACGUUCAGGGUCGCGCCAGAAUAUCGAGGGGAGGGGAGGGGGAGGCGUCCUCCGCACCCGCUGUCUGGUAGGGAAUGGAUUCAAGCGCCUUGGUCAAGUUCACGGCGGUUCCUCGCCCCAGACGGCGCGACAGACGUGCCCCGGGAACCGACGCCGCGGUUCAGGGAGCGUCCUCCUGAACAACUCGGCUAAGCGGGGCCCUCAGGACCGGGGUCAGUCCUCCUCCCGGCGCCGCCCCGGCCAGGACGGUCCGCGGGCGUCCGUCAAAGCCGGGAGAGAGGGCACCGCGGCCGAGGACCGAGCCGCGCCCGGCCCUGCG
rnacentral:lncRNA from 1 species